UACGAAGGGGGCUAGCGCUGCUCGGAAUCACUGGGCGUAAAGGGUGCGUAGGCGGGUCUUUAAGUCAGAGGUGAAAUCCUGGAGCUCAACUCCAGAACUGCCUUUGAUACUGAGGAUCUUGAGUUCGGGAGAGGUGAGUGGAACUGCGAGUGUAGAGGUGAAAUUCGUAGAUAUUCGCAAGAACACCAGUGGCGAAGGCGGCUCACUGGCCCGAUACUGACGCUGAGGCACGAAAGCGUGGGGAGCAAACAGG
rnacentral:rRNA from 1 species